CAUCCGUGGCGGAACAGGUAUACGCACGGGGUUUAAGCCCCCGGGCCCGUUACAGGGAUUAGGAGUUCGACUCUCCUCGGAUGCA
rnacentral:tRNA from 1 species